rnacentral:lncRNA from 1 species
UCCUUUCUACCUCUCUCUCUCUUCUUUCUUUCUUUCUUUCUUUCUUUCUUUCUUUCUUUCUUUCUGUCUGUCUGUCUGUCUGUCUGUCUGUCUGUCUAGCUUAAUGCUUAUCAGUGAGGUCUAUGGAGGUAUGCCAAACAAGCAUUCCUGUCUCAAAGCUGAGGUGGAGGGCAACAGUGGAAAACACACAGCGUUGACCUAUGGCCUCCACACAGAAAUAAAAAAGGAAUUCAUUUGUAGGAGCACAGACAUUCAUUACUGUGGAUGCAAUCUGGGCAGUGCUAUGGGAUUUUCAGAGACACCUUAGUAGAAGUAUCUUUAAAAAAAGAGUCAAGCAUAAGAUGAGAGAUCAUCCCUGGUAGAGGACAUAGUCUUGGCCAGGCGAGACUGGAAUGUUUGAGGACCUACCAAGAGGCAUGUGUAUUCAGAGCAUAAUAAUCUAAGAAGAGAGAACUCUGAGAUGAAGUAGGAGAGGUGAGACAGCAGUAGAACUCUGUACCGAGCUUUAUAGGUAAGGAAAUGAAAAGCUUUCUCAGGUAGCAAAUGGCAAAGCCACUGAGCCCAUUCAAGUCUCUUUGUUCUAUGGUGUUUGUUCAAGAUUUGUUUUCUCAUUUAUUUAAAGCUAAUCUUUCUCUGAAUUCAGGCACCAUGAUGUGCUGUAGGGAUGUAUUUAAGGUGUUCGCUUUCCUGGACUCUGUCUUGUUCUUUUCCCUGAGUCAUGUUACUGCCUUAGAGGUCAAGGGCAACCAAGGGAAAUUCUAUCUACAGGCAACAGAGAAACAAAACUCAGAAUGACGUAUGGUAUAGGAUUGCUUUGCUUACCUGCCAGACUGAAUAAUAAUCCAUAUUUAUUUUUCCCGGUCCCUUAGUUUUUUUUUCCUUUUUUUGUUGUGCUUUGUUUCCACCAGUUUCAGAUUUUUCUAUCUCCAUGCCCUACUGUAGAUAUGAAGAGAAGAUCCCAGACUUUCCAUUUAAAAUGUUAUGCUUUGUGCUGAUCAGAUUGACCAUGAUGGGGCUAGAAUGCUUCUGCUAACUGGCUCAGCUCUGGGCUCCAUACUUCUUCUUGAAGUAACCAUUGUGACAAGGAUACAUUGUGACAAGGAUAUUUCCAGUUACUAUCCUCAGGAACUACAGUAACUUUAGGAAUGUGGAUGCAUGGCAAUGUACCAGAGGGGCAUUGAUGAAGAAUGUUACAUUGUUUCAAUGUUGAGAUUGAGGAUGUGGAUGUUAAACUACUGACAGUGGGUGGAGAUCAAGAAUGCUAAAUGUCUUGAGAUUGCUCAGGAAAUGUCUGUACCAGAUGGGAUUACCCCAUCUGUGUUUUACAUGUGCUUCUGAAGUAUAUGUAGAUGAUAAAAUUUGUAUAAUCAUCUUAACAUAGCAGAUUUUUUCUUCUGGGAUGAUGAUAUAUAUAUAUAUAUAUACACACAUAUAUAUAUAUGCCGUGGACUGGACUCAGUCAAUCCCUCAACCUGCAGGAGAAUCAGGGUUCUGGUACUCAGGUGGGCAAGGAGUUGGCGGAGUGACAAACAGACACAAACACCAGAGAGAGUAUUGAAUCUGAGUGUAAUUUCUCAAAGUGAGCAUCAGACUGAUAUUACAGAAGAAAACAAGGAAGUUAAGUGAUACAUUAAGGUCAUCCAAGGUUCAUUGAGGUUACCCGAUGUAAUAUGUCUCUUUAU